UUAAACCCCUCGCGGUGCCAUUAAAUGGAACCCGGGAUGCGAAGCGCCGCGGCUGCGCUCGAAACUUGUCGGGGCCGGAGCAGCGGCUCGGCGGGGCCGGGGAAUGGGAGCGGGGGGCGGCGAGAGCCGGCUCAGGGGCCGUGUGUCCUUCUUUUCCAGGCUCCAGCCGGAUUCCCCCUGGAAGAUCCCGCGAGCCCGGGAUGGGAAUCUCCGCUCCUGAUUGUCCAAACGCAAUUCUUGUGCGAUGGAGCCGUAUGAACCAAGAAUUGUGUCUGGACAUCUGUAGCAGAGGUUUCACCUCCUCCGGCGGGGCUCCAGGACGCUGCUCGGGGCGCAGGAUGGAGGAUGGACCUUCCCCGGGCCCGGGGCACGGCAGGUAACCCUCCCGACUGCGGCCCGCCGGGACGGAGCCCGGAUUUCGGGGAAACUGAGGAAACACCGGCGGCGACUCCGCUCGGCUCGGCGCGGCCGGGGGGCUCGGUCCUAAUGCGUCAAACACCGGCCGGGUCCCCACCGGGACGGGCAGCCCCAGGCAGGCUCCGGGCAGGACGGAGGGGCCGAGCCGCGGGCACCGGCGCUUGCCCGUGAGCGGCGGGGCCGCAGCCCGGGCGCGGCGAGCGGGCGACCCGGCCCUGCGGCUCCAUCCUGGUUUAUCCCGCUGGUGUUUAUUUAUUUAUCUAUUUUAACACUGCGGUUUAAUUUCACUCCGUCGUGAGCCCGGCCCUGGGGCGCGCCGGGGACCGCUCUGCACCGGGACACCCUCCUCGUCCUCCUGCCGCAGCCCCGGCCGGCCCCGGGCACACGGAGGCCGCUCCGAGUCUCCGCCGAGCCGGGAACCGUCCCCGCCGCUCGGGCACCGGGCGGGCUCGGCGGGGAGCGGCCCCGGGCCGCGGGCACGGCCCUUGCUGCCCCGGUGAGCCCCUCGGAGCGGAGCAGCCCCCGCGGAACGGCGGCCGGAGGAAGGCACGUUCUAACAGAGAGGCUUUAUGAAUCCACCAGCCAAGCGGCUCGGCCGGGGCUGCCAAGGAAACCCAGGAGGAGGAGGGAAGCAUUACAAGAUCCGAGCAGAAUUUCACCAAGAGCCUAUCUAGGACAAAGCUGGAGGCAGAGAAUGUUUUAAAAGGCUUUUAUUUCAGAAACUUUUCGUUGUUGCUGUUUUUACAGGAUUUUGCUGUACCCCUCUUCUCCCACCCCCCUGGCUUCCCUCAUCUUCCCAUUUCUAGCUUUUUUUAGCAGUGAUUGGCAGCUUUUACUACAGCAGGAGCUAAGCCACCUGGGUCUACCUGCACUAUUGAGGGGAAUAACAGCUCCCAGAGAAGGAACCCAUCCAAUCUGAGCAAACAGCUGGGGGGGAUGAGAACAGACAAGCCCAGCCUAAGGCACAGAAGCAGCAUAGAGGCAGGGCAGGCAGCAGCGCUGAAGACAAACCUGCCUUUUCCCAUCGGGUUUCAGUCCAUUUCAAGCUGCACACCACACAGGUUCCUUGUUUUUUCAGCCAGCUCCUACCAUCACCUGGAAUCCCCUUCCACUGCCCUGGCCCAGCAAAGCUAACAGCCAGGAACUGGGGACAGAGAAGAGCCUUUGGCCCGUCCGUGUCAUUUACAAACGGCAUGAGCUGGACUCAAGUCGCUGUGGCUGGAUUUGGAAAAGGCUGAAUAUCAGUUUGUCACCAGCAGUGGGUGGAAGGUGGGGUUCCUCAGAUGCAGCAGCAUCGUAGUCCGUGGGUGCUUUUAGUUACGCAGGUUGUGGAGGGGUGAACGUGAGAGAGGAGAAGUCAGCUGAGGGAAUUACUCUUCGGCACUCUCUGCAUCAGACAGCGGAAUUCCUCCGUCAGGCGCAGGGCGGGAGAAGCUCCUUGUACGCAGCACCCGGGAUGCUGGGCCAGGCUGCCCAAGCAGGGGCUGCUGCACUGGCUGCUCCCUCCUCCCACCUCCUCCUUGCACCUCCUGGAGACGGAGGGCUCUCGGAGCAGUGUGUGGUGCAGAUCAGCUCCGGGAUGCACCGACUGAGCACCAGCGAGCGGGAGCUGCCGCCGGGGACCACCGUGCGCUGCCGGAGCCAAGCCCAAAUGCAGACCUGUGGCACCAGUGCUAUCCUCUGACCCUGUCCCUCCGCUCUCGCCGUGGCCUCUGGGCUGGCAGGGGCCAGUCCAUCUAUCCGAGGAAACUUCUGGAAAGCCAACAGCAUCCGUGCCCUAGCAGAGCCAAGCACACCCACUUCUACAGCGCUCACGGGACUUCCUCAGGGCACAUAGUAAGAAGCCUUUCCCACUGGUGGAAAGGGUUAAAAGCCUGACUUUCCCAGGUCUUGGCACUUCAACUGUGCAUCUCCAGCCCCAGCCCUUCCCCAGCCAGGCUGCAGCUCCCACCUGCACAGAAUGCAGCGCAGCCCGAUCAAUGCUGUCCAUCACGGUGACAGAAAGAUCAUUUGCUGCCCUGAUCACUUCGUGCUGUCUCAGGCUGGGUGAGGGUUUGUUUCCCCUCCAACCAAAUCAUUACAAAUUGACGUUGUUCGUGGGCCAGCACUUCACCCUCUGCCUCAGCUCCAGUACGAAAACAGAAUGAGGGAUCAGAAAAACAGAACUUUUCAAAAAAGCCUAUUUCUCUCCUGUGUCCCAUAAAUAAAUACCACAAGUGGAAGUCACUACAGACGGCUCUGAAGCUGUCAUGUUUGCUACCUCACAGAAAAGCUAGGCAAGCCACUUUUUGUUUCCUUGCACUUCAUGCCUCACCCUUCCCGUGGCUGGUGCACAGACUAAGUAUUGUGUUAAAAGAAUCCUGGUUCCCAGCACCAAGGCAGAGGCAUCCCAGCCUUGCCCCAAAACAGGCACAACUCCCCCAGAACGCCUCACUGUCUGCAAAGACACGUCAUCCUACUCAGGUUUCAGCACCUCUUUUCCUCCCAUCACGGAAAAAUAAAGUCCCACAUUCUGCAGGUGCUCUCUGCUCAUUAGGGUACCUGAAAGUGCAGUCAGGAGAGGUGAAAUGAGGACCAAAAGAUGGAUGUUGUUGCGGUGGACAGUAGGCCGCAGGCUGCAGGGCUUUAUUUGGAUGUGUAGUAACAAGAGAACACGGUGGAAAGAUGCAGAGGUCAGGCACAGGCAGUUCAAGAGAGGUUUGGGUGGGUUAAGGUUUUUGUUUGGGGUUUUUGCCCAGGGACUUGGAUUUACAUCCUCUUGUCUUUUCAGGAGUUCACCCGCCGUGCAAUGUCGAGAUGAAAACCACAUUAUCCUGGUCCUGGAGUUUAUAAUCCAGCUCACCCUGCAGGCCAAGGAAAAAAAAAAUGGUUUAAAUGUCAUUUCCAAAUACAAGCUGCAAAGAGAAAACAGCUCAUAAAAAGACGGUGAGUGUUAGGGAGAGCAGAAGGGGACAGACUGAUGUUUUCAUCACAAGAGAAGUGAAGGUGAGGGAUCAGCCACGGCGCUGAUGCUCAUCAGCCCACAGCGCCUUCUGGACCAGGGUUUUGACAGAACAGGUGGUUGCCUGAGGCAGGAAAAUAGCGAGGGGCUGUUUGUUGUCUGAGCACAACAGUGGGCUGAGAAGGGAAGACAUUUACCAGGUGCCUGUUUGGGUAGAAAUCUCCCCGUGGCCUUCACCUGCCAGGCACCCCCUGACUCCAGGGAAGGUGGUUCUGCCUGGGGCCUGGAGCUGCCAGUACCCACCACAGUCACCCUACACACGGGGGGACCCACCAGCAGUCAGAGGUGCAGAGCCCAAUGCCAGAGGCCAGGGAAAAAAAGGGUAAUCUCUCUUCAGACCUUGGCUGGCUGAUGAGACUCAGCAGGUUAGAGAGAGGCUCCAGGCUCCUGAACAGCCACAGCACAGGAGAGAGAUCCCAGCCUGCCCCUUCCCCCUCAAAUACAAGAUGUUUUACUUGGGGCAAGAAUCAGAAACAGCUUCUCUGAGAGCAACCAAAGAACAGAGAGAGCAAUAUUUUCAACAAAGAAAGUCAAAUUUAAGGAGUACAGACCAUUAGUUCCCAGUCUGCGUCGUUGAUGAGCACCAAAAUUCCUGGCCUCCUGCAGAACAGAGAGAAAUAAUUAGGAUACAGGUCUGCUAAAAAGCUCCACAAACAGUUAAGAACAAGGGAUGUCACAGCACAGAUCACAAGCUGACUGCUUAUAAAGCCAAAAAGGAAUCCUAGCAUGGAGGUGGAACAGGUACAGUCUGUGCCCUUUCUACAUCAAAUAAAGGGGAGGCAGGAGCACUCCCAAAGCUCAUUUGAAUCAAAACGCACCAUUCCCGAGGAUGCUCCAGGAUGAUACAUUUCCGUACGAUGCAGAAGAGCCAGGUAAUUAAAACCCACGCACGACAGUCGAGCGCAGAGAGCUCGAUGUGAAGGUAGGGAAAGCUACUCCGGUGCCCCUACCACAGGCACUAAACACCUGGGAUCCACUCCAAGCCCCUGAUUCCGAGCAAAGGGAUUCCCCUUCUUUGAUCUUCGGUGUCCUGCAAUUGUCUCUCCUGUUACCAGGGGACCUGGCACACGCUUCAGCUCACAAAGAUCCGUGACGAAUGUUAAACACCCCCAGCGCCACCCCGCAGUCAGGGAUGGCUUGCACAGCUCACUCUGCUCCAUUUCUCUUGCCUUCUUCUUUUUUUUUUUUUUUCCUCCUCGCCCCCCUCAUCCUCCACGAGGCUGGCCCCGUUUUGACAAUAAAAAUACAUUUCCCAGAAGAA